UACCAACAAAGAUGUUGUGUCCGCCGAGAACUAAGAAAAAAUAAAUAAAUGUUAAAAUUCUCUCUCUCUCUCUGUCCCCCACCUCUCACUCUCUCUAGAAAAAAAAAAAAAAUUUUUUUUAUUUGUGUACUAUCACAGAAAUGCCCAGAAUUCAAUAGUAUUUCAUUCAAUUUAAUUUUCUGUUAUUUUGAGUCAUAAUGUUUUCAAGUUAUUAUGCAUUAUUAUGGGUAAAUUACUUAUAAUGAUUAAAUUGAUGUGAUAAUCUUGUUUUAAAAUUGAAGUGAAUAUAGAAUUUUUGUGUUAUAAUUUCAUAAUUUUGUGUAAAAUUGAAAUAAAUUAAAACUUAGUAUAAGAUGAAAAUUAAUAGUUAUGAAAUUAAUACAUAUUAUGAAAUGAUAUACUACUACAUCCACUAAAGUGUUCUUUUUAGGCUUAACUAAAUAUUUGGAAGAUAAUUAUAAAGUUAAUAUGUCUGCAAUUAUUUGUGACUAUUACCAAUAGGAGUCUUUAGGCUGAACAUUCAAGCUCACAAGACUGCUGUGGUUGCUACCACUCAAAGGAAUAUUAAACUAGAAUAGAAGCCAGGGUGUAGGACAUCAUCAAAUUCUUAUUAGCAGUCCAAGUACAAUUUAGCAAUCAGGAAUCAUUUAGCAAUACAAUUGACAUUCUUAGCUUUAUUAAUUACUUAGUAAGAGCUUGAAAGGUUAACUACAGGUGAGAUUUAAAUACAUCAAGAAAAAAGGUCUUAUUUAACUCUUUUACUCUCAUAUGCUAAAUCUAUUAUUUUAAAAUAUUUUACUUAAUAGAGUAUGUCUAAUUCUAAUGUUUUGGUUGUUUGAUAUCUGAGACUGAUUUACCAUAUAUACUUCAAGCUAAUGAAACCAAAGUUGUGGUGUCUGUGGUGUCCCUGUUAGCUUCACUGAUUUCAAACCCUGGGACUACUCUUUUCAACUUUUGCAUUCGGAUCAUCAAAGAAACUUAGACCCAGCAUUUUGGAAAAGAAGGAUGAAUGUGAAGUAAGAACAAACUGGAAUCUGUGAAGACAAACUGGAACUUAAGAUGCAAACUGAACACUGCAUCUGUUGCUCAAGACCUCCAACCUUAAUGAUGCAGAUAAACUGCAGAAUAAGCUGGUGUUCUUCACAUAACAAUGAAGUGAACUAGCAGAUUAGUGGCAAUUUGGGUGAGUUGUGACAGCACCUGGCCCCACAUCACCCUUUACAAUGCAACAAAGUGGCUACAGCUUCAUUUCUACAUUCCAUAAAUUUCUAACUCCCAGAGUUAACUCUAACCGUACAGGGAAGGGAAUUGUGGGAAAUAUAGUUCCAUUUAAGUUGAUACAGUACAAAUGCACCACAGGACUGACUACAUAAAUAUGGAAGCACAUUUGUUGAUAAGGAAAAGAUACUCAUAAAGUACAGUUUAGGAAGAAAAGCAGAUUGUAUGGCUAUGCCUGUAGCUUGAUGGUAUAGCAUGUGCUUGGCAUAUGCCAUGGCCAUGGGUUCAAUUUCCAUUAUAAAAAAAAAAAGCAAGUUAUAUUACUUACAAUAUUGUAACAGUUGUCUUCUUCACCUUUUGAAACCUUUUGUAUAUA